CGCGACCUCAGGUCAGGCGGGGCUACCCGCUGAGUUUAAGCAUAUCAAUAAGCGGAGGAAAAGAAACUAACGAGGAUUCCCCUAGUAACGCAGGGAUGAGAGAAAAAAUUAUAAAA
rnacentral:rRNA from 1 species